GACUACCCGGGUAUCUAAGCCUGUUUGAUCCCCACGCUUUCGUGCCUCAGCGUCAGUAUCGCCUUAGUAAGCUGCCUUCGCAAUUGGUGUUCUAUGUCAUAUCUAAGCAUUUCACCGCUACACGACAUAUUCCGCCUACUUCAAGCGCACUCAAGAUCGUCAGUAUCAAUGGCAAGUCUACAGUUGAGCUGCAGGAUUUCACCACUGACUUAACGACCCGCCUACGCACCCUUUAAACCCAAUGAAUCCGGAUAACGCUUGCACCCUUCGUAUUACCGCGGCUGCUGGCACGAAGUUAGCCGGUGCUUAUUCCUCAGGUACCGUCAACCCCAGACACGUCUGGGGGUUUCUUCCCUGGUAAAAGCAGUUUACGACGCGUAGCGCCUUCUUCCUGCACGCGGCAUGGCUGCGUCAGAGUUGCCUCCAUUGCGCAAUAUUCCUCACUGCAGCCACCCGUAGG
rnacentral:rRNA from 1 species